GGGUUGUGAGGUUAAGCGACUAAGCGUACACGGUGGAUGCCCUGGCAGUCAGAGGCGAUGAAGGACGUGCUAAUCUGCGAUAAGCGUCGGUAAGGUGAUAUGAACCGUUAUAACCGGCGAUUUCCGAAUGGGGAAACCCAGUGUGAUUCGUCACACUAUCAUUAACUGAAUCCAUAGGUUAAUGAGGCGAACCGGGGGAACUGAAACAUCUAAGUACCCCGAGGAAAAGAAAUCAACCGAGAUUCCCCCAGUAGCGGCGAGCGAACGGGGAGCAGCCCAGAGCCUGAAUCAGUGUGUGUGUUAGUGGAAGCGUCUGGAAAGGCGCGCGAUACAGGGUGACAGCCCCGUACACAAAAAUGCACAUGCUGUGAGCUCGAUGAGUAGGGCGGGACACGUGGUAUCCUGUCUGAAUAUGGGGGGACCAUCCUCCAAGGCUAAAUACUCCUGACUGACCGAUAGUGAACCAGUACCGUGAGGGAAAGGCGAAAAGAACCCCGGCGAGGGGAGUGAAAAAGAACCUGAAACCGUGUACGUACAAGCAGUGGGAGCCUCUUUAUGGGGUGACUGCGUACCUUUUGUAUAAUGGGUCAGCGACUUAUAUUCUGUAGCAAGGUUAACCGAAUAGGGGAGCCGAAGGGAAACCGAGUCUUAACUGGGCGUUAAGUUGCAGGGUAUAGACCCGAAACCCGGUGAUCUAGCCAUGGGCAGGUUGAAGGUUGGGUAACACUAACUGGAGGACCGAACCGACUAAUGUUGAAAAAUUAGCGGAUGACUUGUGGCUGGGGGUGAAAGGCCAAUCAAACCGGGAGAUAGCUGGUUCUCCCCGAAAGCUAUUUAGGUAGCGCCUCGUGAACUCAUCUCCGGGGGUAGAGCACUGUUUCGGCAAGGGGGUCAUCCCGACUUACCAACCCGAUGCAAACUGCGAAUACCGGAGAAUGUUAUCACGGGAGACACACGGCGGGUGCUAACGUCCGUCGUGAAGAGGGAAACAACCCAGACCGCCAGCUAAGGUCCCAAAGUCAUGGUUAAGUGGGAAACGAUGUGGGAAGGCCCAGACAGCCAGGAUGUUGGCUUAGAAGCAGCCAUCAUUUAAAGAAAGCGUAAUAGCUCACUGGUCGAGUCGGCCUGCGCGGAAGAUGUAACGGGGCUAAACCAUGCACCGAAGCUGCGGCAGCGACGCUUAUGCGUUGUUGGGUAGGGGAGCGUUCUGUAAGCCUGUGAAGGUGU
rnacentral:rRNA from 1 species